GUCUGCUGCUUGGCUGAUUUAUGUUCCUCUGUGUGUGUUUCUGCAGCACGUCAGCUGUAUUGUGUUUGUGUUGCUGUCCAAACGGACACUUUGGCGUUGAAUGAAUCGCACGCAACCAGUCUGAGAGCCACAGGGUGUUUUGGUCCCACCGUGCUAGUCACUCUGACCAGGCUGGUGUCCAUGGUAAGUCACUCUGACCAGGCUGGUGUCCAUGGUAAGUCACUCUGACCAGGCUGGUGUCCAUGGUAAGUCACUCUGACCAGGCUGGUGUCCAUGGCAAGUCACUCUUUACAGCAUUAUCCUAAAGGAGGUGAAAGGUAAUUAUUGUGGUUUGACAACAUUACCCUAAAGCAGAUGAAGGUAAUGAUUGUGCCUUUACAGCAUUAUCCUAAAGGAAAUGAAAGGUGAUUAUUGUGCCUUUACAGCAUUAUCGUAAAGGAGAUGAAGGUAAUGAUUGUGCCUUUACAGCAUUAUCCUAAAGGAGAUGAAAUGUGAUUAUUGUGUCUUUACAGCAUUAUCCUAAAGGAGAUGAA
rnacentral:lncRNA from 1 species